GCACAGAUCUGAUCUCCAGUGAGCGGUUGAAGUAUCACCGCGCCUUCCCUGACGGCUGCUCUGCUGCCUCUCGCUGUUUCUUUAGAAUACCAAAUGUUCUUAUUCGUAGUGUUUCUAUAGCCUAGUGUUUUAUUGCUAUUAUUAGUGACGGUAUUAUCAGUUGAAGUCCGAGCAACGGUUAACUUCACUGCUCACUAGUGGACAGAAAGGAAUGGAAGGAUGGAGAAUGACUCUAUGCCAAAAGACUGUGACAUAACCCUGGCGGGGCUAAAAUUAGGUUGAACCAAUCCGAAUGCAUCUGCAACCAACCAACUGCCACUGGUGAUACGGAGGACACGCACGCUGACCCUCCUCCUCCCAUCCCCGGAAACAACCUGUUCUCUGCAAGCCCCGCCCCCUCUCUGACUUAUCCCGCCCCCUUCAGGGCAGACCACGCCCCUUUCAGGGCUGACCCCGCCACUAUCAAGGCGGCGGCUGGCGAUGACCUCUGUCUCCGUUGUGUUCUGUCCUGUCUCUACUGUGAGCUCUUCUCCUUGUGCUCCACCCUGGGGGCGUGUCUUACCUGCCCAGGGGCGGGGCCACCUGCUGCUGUGACACCAUUUGCUGCUGCUGCUCCAGUGGGGAGGCGGAGGGCGUGUUCUAUGGGGAGGAGGCGUGUCAGGCCCUGGCGGAUUGUGGGAUAGUGGAGGACUGCUGCUCCUCGACCGACCUCCUGGACUUCAGCCUCGAGUGUUGCUCCUUCUUCUUCCCUUCCUAGACCACGACCUCAUCACCAUGACCUCAUCAGCAUUACCUCAUCACCAUGACCUCAUCACUGUGAUAUUACCAUGACAUCAUCAUGACCUCAUCACCACGACAUCAUGGUAGAAGAUCUUCUCCUUAAGAACUCCUUCUAUCAGAUAAAGAGCCAACAAUCAGGUAGCACCUCUAUAAAGAGCCAGCCAAUCAGGAGGCAUCCCUAUCUGGGAGCAUUUCAUUUAAUGAUCCUGUCCGGACAGAAAGAGAAUUUCAACAAAUAUUUAACUUGAGAAGUAUGAGAGGUACUUCCGAUAGAAGGACUUCUGAUAGAAGGACUUCCGAUAGAAAGACUUCAGAUAGAAGGACUUCCGACAGACGGACUUUCAAUAGAAGACUUCCGACAGAGGGACUUCAAUAGAAGGACUUCCGACAGAAGGACUUCCGAUAGAGGGACUUCCGACAGAAAGACUUCCGAUAGAAAGACUUCGAUAGAGGGACAGCCGGACUUCCAAUAGAGGGACUUCCGACAGAAGGACUUCCGAUAGAGGGACUUCCGACAGAAGGACUUCCGAUAGAGGGACUUCCGACAGAAGGACUUCCGAUAGAGGGACUUCCGACAGAAGGACUUCCGAUAGAGGGACUUCCGACAGAAGGACUUCCGAUAGAGGGACUUCCGACAGAAGGACUUCCGAUAGAGGGACUUCCGACAGAAGGACUUCCGAUAGAAGGACUUCCGACAGAAGGACUUCCAAUAGAGGGACUUCUGACAGAAGGGCUUCCGAUAGAGGGACUUCCGACAGAAGGACUUCCGAUAGAGGGACUUCCGAUAGAAGAACUUCUGAUGGGACUUCCGAUAGAUGGACUUCUCAUGUUCUUGUUCUUCCAGCUCCGCAGACCUUUAACUGGCGGACUGGCUCGUAGGACGGAAGAGGCGCUACAACUCAUGUCCCUCUCUCAUCGUCGUGGAACAGACCAGGGAGGUCUAAGAGAACAUACAAAGAAAUGUGAUCUCUGCAUUCACCCAUCUCCAGCAGCACGAGGAGCAGUGGGCGGCCACGGUGCCUUGGCCAAGGGCACGGGCGGGAGGACCGAUCGAACAUGGACGAGGGAGGAAACCAGGAUCUCACUCUGUGAGGUAGCAGUGCUAAGCUAGUGCUAGUGCUAAGCUAAGUUAAGCUGAGUGCUUACCACUGUGCCAUAACCCGACGCAUAAUGAAAACAGCCAUCCCAAUUACGCUACACGUUAUAAUUUCUCCGCUCUUGCUGGAAUCAGACAUGAACCAUAACCGCAUCAAGGUGUUUUUUUUCAUUUCCUUUUAUUUUCAACCUCAUAAACACUUUUUCACAGAAUGUUUUGAUGGAAAUAAAAACAUGGAUACAAUGUCAUGUUGUGGCCUGCCACACAGCAAUA